CCUAACACAUGCAAGUCGAACGGUAACAGGAAGAAGCUUGCUUCUUUGCUGACGAGUGGCGGACGGGUGAGUAAUGUCUGGGAAACUGCCUGAUGGAGGGGGAUAACUACUGGAAACGGUAGCUAAUACCGCAUAACGUCGCAAGACCAAAGAGGGGGACCUUCGGGCCUCUUGCCAUCGGAUGUGCCCAGAUGGGAUUAGCUUGUUGGUGGGGUAACGGCUCACCAAGGCGACGAUCCCUAGCUGGUCUGAGAGGAUGACCAGCCACACUGGAACUGAGACACGGUCCAGACUCCUACGGGAGGCAGCAGUGGGGAAUAUUGCACAAUGGGCGCAAGCCUGAUGCAGCCAUGCCGCGUGUAUGAAGGAGGCCUUCGGGUUG
rnacentral:rRNA from 1 species